rnacentral:tRNA from 1 species
GAAGUUAUAACUCAGUGGUAGAGCAUGUGCUUAGCAUGUAUGAGGUCCUGGGUUAAAUCCCCAGUAUCCCCA